CUGGCGCCACGAGAUGAGCCUGCGGCCCAUCAGCUAGUUGGUAGGGUAACGGCCUACCAAGGCAAAGACGGGUAGCUGGUCUGAGAGGAUGAUCAGCCACACUGGAACUGAGACACGGUCCAGACUCCUACGGGAGGCAGCAGUGGGGAAUCUUGCGCAAUGGGCGAAAGCCUGACGCAGCGACGCCGCGUGAGCGAUGAAGGCCUUCGGGUUGUAAAGCUCUGUGGAGGGGGACGAAUAAGGGCACGCUAAUACCGUGUUUGAUGACGGUACCCCUUUAGCAAGCACCGGCUAACUCUGUGCCAGCAGCCGCGGUAAGACAGAGGGUGCAAACGUUGUUCGGAAUUACUGGGCGUAAAGCGCGUGUAGGCUGUUCGGAAAGUCGGAUGUGAAAGCCCCGGGCUCAACCCGGGAAGUGCAUUCGAAACUUCCGAGCUGGAGUCCUGGAGAGGAAGGCGGAAUUCUCGGUGUAGAGGUGAAAUUCGUAGAUAUCGAGAGGAACACCGGUG
rnacentral:rRNA from 1 species